rnacentral:rRNA from 1 species
GACGGGGGGGGCAAGUGUUCUUCGGAAUGACUGGGCGUAAAAGGGCACGUAGGCGGUGAAUCGGGUUGAAAGUGAAAGUCGCCAAAAAGUGGCGGAAUGCUCUCGAAACCAAUUCACUUGAGUGAGACAGAGGAGAGUGGAAUUUCGUGUGUAGGGGUGAAAUCCGUAGAUCUACGAAGGAACGCCAAAAGCGAAGGCAGCUCUCUGGGUCCCUACCGACGCUGGGGUGCGAAAGCAUGGGGAGCGAACAGG